GAUGAACGCUGGCGGCGUGCCUAAUACAUGCAAGUCGAGCGAACAGACGAGGAGCUUGCUCCUCUGACGUUAGCGGCGGACGGGUGAGUAACACGUGGAUAACCUACCUAUAAGACUGGGAUAACUUCGGGAAACCGGAGCUAAUACCGGAUAAUAUAUUGAACCGCAUGGUUCAAUAGUGAAAGACGGUUUUGCUGUCACUUAUAGAUGGAUCCGCGCCGCAUUAGCUAGUUGGUAAGGUAACGGCUUACCAAGGCAACGAUGCGUAGCCGACCUGAGAGGGUGAUCGGCCACACUGGAACUGAGACACGGUCCAGACUCCUACGGGAGGCAGCAGUAGGGAACCUUCCGCAAUGGGCGAAAGCUUGACGGAGCAACGCCGCGUGAGUGAUGAAGGUCUUCGGAUCGUAAAACUCUGUUAUUAGGGAAGGACAAAUGUGUAAGUAACUAUGCACGUCUUGACGGUACCUAAUCAGAAAGCCACGGCUAACUACGUG
rnacentral:rRNA from 1 species